rnacentral:ncRNA from 2 species
UUUUAACACUAGGGGAGUCGUGAUGACUGAGAGGGAAGUUAAUCUUCCGACCCUUGAACCUGAAAUGGAUAAUACCAGCGGAGGGAAGUGUAGUUGUUUAUGA